UAUCUUCUGUGGUGUACGUGUUCAGACUGGCAUAAACUUGAGCCUAUCUUUUUUUGCCGGGAACUAAACCGCAAUGUUGUUGUGCAUGCCCACUCGAUGGGAAGCCUGAUAUAUUGCCUGCUGUUCCCACUUGAACCAUUGGUUCAAGUUACAAGUCUGUAACGGCACCACGGUUGAUAC
rnacentral:other from 1 species